CGGCCUCGUCUUCGGUGGAGACGCCUCGGGGUGCAGCAGGAGGGCCGAAGUCGUCCUGAAUGAGCUCGCGAUGAGGCCGUCGGAUUCCAGACGCGAAGCGCAAGACGAGGCCUGCGGCGGCGGAGGGGAGGGCGGGAGGGAAGGAUCCGCCACGCCGCCGGCCUUGCGAGCUCCUGGCCAUUUGAUCGCUCGGGUCUUCUCACAGCUCGAUUGCGUAGAUCUCCUCAACUGCGCCCUCGUCUGCAAACAAUGGUAUAGGGAUUCGGCAGAGCUAAGGGAAGGUUGGAAGAAUGAAUACUUUGAAGCAUGGAAUCUGUAUGGGCUGUGCAUUAAAAGAGAGACGCAUCCACCAUCGUCCAAUUGCUCCAUAAGAGAAGAAGAGGAAUCAAGUUCAUUAAUGAGCGGGGCCCAUUAUUCCGGUCCGGCCCAUCAUCGCUCGUAACCGCCCAACUUUUACCUAUCCAACCCGUCUCGGCCUCCACAGCGCAAGAAAGCAGGCGGCGGUGGCCGCGGUGAACCCCCGAGCACCGGCGGGGCGAGCCAUCGGAUUCCUCCUCCGAUCAUUCGAUACCAUAAGAUCUGUCAGCGUUGUUCCUUCUCCCUCCUCGAUGAACGCGGAGGACCCCAAGAAGAAGAAGAAGAAUCUCUUCGGGGUGGCGCAGUUCCUGCCCAACUGGGGGAUCGGCUACAAGAUGGCCAAGACUCACUGGAGGGGACGUCUCCUACGAGAUCACUAAGGUUAACCUCCACAAGGAUGGACGACAUGGCAAAGCGCGGCGAAUCAGGUACAAGGCCGCAGGGAUUCUUUAUGUGAUCAUUGACUAGGGUUUCAUUUCAACUGCACUGCUGUAGUGUAUCAGAUGUAUGGAUAUUUCUUUCAGAGACAAUCAUCAGAGACCAAAGGACACUGGGCACCAAUAAUUUUGGCCUAAUGGUUUGGGGAAUGGGGUUGUAGUCUUUUGUUGUUCAGGUCAACUUUCAUAUAAAACAAGACACAGUUGAAGCUUGGUUUAUGGUACUUGAUCUGCAAAUGAUACCUUUCCCUGAGCUUGUUUUGCUUCUAGUGCUAUAUGCAUGUAACAACACUUUACAGUCUGGUUCCCAUAUUAAAUUUCAAAGUUGCUAAGAUGAUCCUGAA